UACGUAGGGUGCAAGCGUUAUCCGGAAUUAUUGGGCGUAAAGAGCUCGUAGGCGGUUUGUCGCGUCUGCUGUGAAAACUGGAGGCUCAACCUCCAGCUUGCAGUGGGUACGGGCAAACUAGAGUGCGGUAGGGGGAGAUUGGAAUUCCUGGUGUAGCGGUGGAAUGCGCAGAUAUCAGGAGGAACACCGAUGGCGAAGGCAGAUCUCUGGGCCGUAACUGACGCUGAGGAGCGAAAGCAUGGGGGAGCGAACAGG
rnacentral:rRNA from 1 species